UACGUAGGUGACAAGCGUUGUCCGGAUUUACUGGGCGUAAAGAGCGCGCAGGCGGUCGAUCAAGUCGAGUGUGAAAGCCCCCGGCUCAACUGGGGAGGGUCAUUCGAUACUGAUCGACUCGAAGGCAGGAGAGGGUAGUGGAAUUCCCGGUGUAGUGGUGAAAUGCGUAGAUAUCGGGAGGAACACUAGUGGCGAAGGCGAGACUCUGGACAGUUCCUGACGCUGAGGCACGAAGGCCAGGGGAGCAAACGGG
rnacentral:rRNA from 1 species